AUAACAGCCAGCUAUCUGAUUGGCCAGCAGCUCUGUUGUCACGGCAGCAGAACCUGGAGAGGUGAACAAUGCUGGGAACACCGGCAGUCCCAGCAAUCAACACAGCAGACCAGGAAAAGGAUAGGACAGAUGGCUGAAGAAAGAGAUACCAGUCUGAGGCCACACGUGUUCUACGGAUGGAGGGAGGCACAUUUGGAAACGUCUGCGUCAAGACAGAGCCCCUCUUCCAAGUGAUGUUCAACUUGGCGAAAGUACUGAUUCAUCAGCAGAGAGAAGAUUGUAGGUGGCAAAUAACCCAUGUUUGAACUGGUGCCGUGAGUAGUCAAUGUUUACAUUCCU